rnacentral:rRNA from 1 species
CUGCCGUGAAUACGUUCCCGGGCCUUGUACACACCGCCCGUCACACCAUGAGAGUUGGGAAUACCCGAAGCCUGUGAGCUAACGUUAAGAGGCAGCAGUCGAAGGUAGAAUCAAUGAUUGGGGUGAAGUCGUAACAAGGUAUC